rnacentral:rRNA from 1 species
AUGAACGCUGGCGGCGUGCCUCAUCCAUGCAAGUCGAGCGAACAGACGAGGAGCUUGCUCCUCUGACGUUAGCGGCGGACGGGUGAGUAACACGUGGAUAACCUACCUAUAAGACUGGGAUAACUUCGGGAAACCGGAGCUAAUACCGGAUAAUAUCUUGAACCGCAUGGUUCAAUAGUGAAAGACGGUUUUGCUGUCACUUAUAGAUGGAUCCGCGCCGCAUUAGCUAGUUGGUAAGGUAACGGCUUACCAAGGCAACGAUGCGUAGCCGACCUGAGAGGGUGAUCGGCCACACUGGAACUGAGACACGGUCCAGACUCCUACGGGAGGCAGCAGUAGGGAAUCUUCCGCAAUGGGCGAAAGCCUGACGGAGCAACGCCGCGUGAGUGAUGAAGGUCUUCGGAUCGUAAAACUCUGUUAUUAGGGAAGAACAAAUGUGUAAGUAACUAUGCACGUCUUGACGGUACCUAAUCAGAAAGCCACGGCUAACUACGUG